GUACACUCCUGCGGGGGGCAGCAGUGGGGAAUAUUGCACAAUGGGCGCAAGCCUGAUGCAGCCAUGCCGCGUGUAUGAAGAAGGCCUUCGGGUUGUAAAGUACUUUCAGCGGGGAGGAAGGCGAUAAGGUUAAUAACCUUGUUGAUUGACGUUACCCGCAGAAGAAGCACCGGCUAACUCCGUGCCAGCAGCCGCGGUAAUACCGAGGGUGCAAGCGUUAAUCGGAAUUACUGGGCGUAAAGCGCACGCAGGCGGUCUGUCAAGUCGGAUGUGAAAUCCCCGGGCUCAACCUGGGAACUGCAUUCGAAACUGGCAGGCUAGAGUCUUGUAGAGGGGGGUAGAAUUCCAGGUGUAGCGGUGAAAUGCGUAGAGAUCUGGAGGAAUACCGGUGGCGAAGGCGGCCCCCUGGACAAAGACUGACGCUCAGGUGCGAAAGCGUGGGGAGCAAACAGGAUUAGAUACCCCGGUAGUCCCAUG
rnacentral:rRNA from 1 species